AGCAGACGCAUGUGGUAGCACCCUUGUGCUCCGGGGCGGGGCACGGGUGAGCAGAGGCGCGGGAGGCGGUGCGAGGGCGGGUCUGGUGGGGCCGUCCUGAGGUGAGGGGCGCGGAGGGGCGGUGGGUGAGCACCUGUGGCGCGGAGCGGGGAGAUCCGCUGUGAAAACGCGGAUCACGACGUUGCGGCACGAGUGCAUCACAUUGUGAGACUACAGCUUGAAUUGCAUUAACGAGUAAGUGGGGAGAUUUGUUUCCAGGUGCUUCUUAUCCAAACUACAAUGCUAAUGUAGUGGAGCUCACAAAUCCUCUGGAAUCCAAAGCCUGCCAACAUUAACAGCUCAGAUAGUUUCUUGUGCUGGCUCCUGCUCUGAAAGGACCCUGAUUGCAGCUUCCCUAUCAUCCCAGACACCAUCAUGAACAGCACAGUACCUCCGUUUUCACUUUGUUGUCCCCAAAG